UACGUAGGGUGCGAGCGUUAAUCGGAAUUACUGGGCGUAAAGCGUGCGCAGGCGGUUCGUUGUGUCGGCGGUGAAAGCCCCGGGCUUAACCUGGGAAUGGCCGUUGAAACUGGCGAACUGGAGUGUGGCAGAGGGGGGUGGAAUUCCGCGUGUAGCAGUGAAAUGCGUAGAUAUCUGGAGGAACAUCAGUGGCGAAGGCGGCUUCCUGGUCCAACACUGACACUGAGGUGCGAAA
rnacentral:rRNA from 1 species